AGAACAGAAGCGAUGGAAUAUGCAGCAGCCUCUUUGUUGGUAGCAAUGAUAAUGCCUUUCGGGUCCUUUGGCGACUCCCCGGAUAAUCUAUCGCCUUGUUCUUUCGUGGAUCUGUAUAACGACGAGUUUCAACAAUGCACAGACUCGUCAGGAGGGAACCUACUUCCGACAGACAUCUUUCUUUGGCAAAACCUGCCAGCAUUCACCAUCUGUACGUUUAGAUGUAUUAUUGAUGGGAAAGAUGUUUCUCGAAUUUGUGAAAAUGGUCGGUGGACGGGUCCCAGGUGUAAGUCCUACAGAGUGAAGCGCUUUUGGAGGAGAUGGAGAAGAAGUCCUCCACCCCCUCCCCCUGAUACUACACCUCCUACGAUUGGCUGCCCAGGGAACGUAUAUGUCACAGCUAACCAAUCAGAAACGUCGUCUGUCGUCAGCUGGACGGAGCCCACUGCCUACGACUCCAAGGACGGAUACUUGGGCACAACAAGGUCUGGCCCCGCUCCCGGAAGUCGGUUUUCAGAAGGAGUUACAACGAUUGGGUACUCGGCGCGCGAUAGCGCCGGUAAUACCGCUCAGUGUUCCUUCAGCGUUACUGUCACAGUGGUGCGCUGCCCACCGCCCUCUUACUCGGGCUCCUACAGCUGUACCGGGGGCACGUCCUACAUAUACGGAGCGUCUUGUUCCUUUGACUGUUCUGCUCUAGGAUACGAACUGAUUGGACAAUCUACGGUCACGUGCCUGUCCUCUGGGCAUUGGAGCAACUCGAUUCCAUCUUGCCAGCGCGUUAACUGUGGUGAUCCUGGAGUGCUGACCAAUGGCGUGCCAGAUUUCCCUGGAACUCGGUACGAAGACGUGGUGACCUAUACAUGUAAUGCAGGGUACAACAUCACUGGAGAUGUAAACCGCAGGUGUCAGGCUACCGGCCUGUGGAGUGGACUUCGACCAUUCUGCUGGUACUCCAUCAGUUGUUCUAGUUCCCCUUGUUUAAACGCAGCGACCUGUACUAAUACAUUAGGAGGAUUUAAGUGCGCAUGUGCGCCAGGCUGGACCGGAAGUGUCUGUGAAACAGGUAGGGUAUCAUAAACGUUAACAGAUACAUGUAUUUCAGUUGUGUGAGCUGGUUGAUCAUUUUUCAUUGUCCUUGAUAAGCAACCCAAUGUACCAACAAAUUCUUAAUCAGAUGUCCAACCUCCCGUGAUGUCAAACUGUCAGAACUCUGAAACAAUAUUGACGUCACAACCAGAAGCUGUAGCGUCAUGGAACAUCCCAUCAUUCCACGACCCAAUGGGGAAUCAAAUAAAAGUGCAGUCCAAUUACCCCCAAAAUACAUCUACUUUUCCAUGGGGAGACUUUACGGUCCAGUAUUCCGCACUUAAACUAAACAACGGUCUGCGCACGGAGUGCAACUUUAACUUGUCUGUUAAACCCAUUCCAUGCCCUGAUCUUGCGAUUCCUCCAAACGCUGUCAUGGUCUGUAACGACUGGAAUACCGAUAUGCUGAACAUGUGCGUUAUUGUAUGUCAAUCCGGGUAUUUCGUUCCCAAUGGUUACAGCGAGAAUGUACUGUAUGUGUGCGGAUCCAGUGGGAACUGGUCCCCUGCUGGACCGAUGCCAGAAUGUAUCGCGGGAACCCCAUCAUACAUUCGGAAUGCACCGUCCUUUACAGAUUGUAAUAAUAGCAAAUCCCGGUCGGAACUUUCUUUACAUUUCAUUGAUCUCCUAGAGAGGUCGAACUUCGCUCAUAUUUGUAAAACAACCACUUGUGAUGCAAACAACGUCAGUAUACGAUGCUGAUUUUAUUGAACUUUGUAUGUUAUUUUUAUUGUCUGAUAUUAUAUUUAUCAUUGAAGCUCUUUAUAUUAAAGCAACUGAUAUAAAU
rnacentral:misc_RNA from 1 species